UUAUUUAUAUAGUUUUGUAAUUGUUAUUCAUAUUUUUCAAAAAAUUAUUUAGAAAUUAUUGCUUAUGUCAUCGCUCGUUUAUUCUUUGAUUUUCGCAAAAAUAUAUACAGUUAACAUUUUAUAAUAGUUGUAUUUUUAAAGCCGGCAAUCCCCCUUUAUCUUGAUGAUGGACUUCUUAUCCCAAAAACAACUUAACUCUUAUGAGGGCAUCAUCGAUAAAAUUCAACAAGAACAUGAAAAAUCCCAAAAGCUUCAGCAAGAAAUCAACAGAAUAAAUAAUAUCCUUGCCCUAACUAACCUCUCAAACCUUAAACUGACCCAAAAACUUGGCCACAUUAAUGUGAAAAUAUUCAGUAAUCUUCUCGACUUAUAUAUUUUAUAUCAGAAUGAGUUGAAAGCAGAUAUAUCAAGCUUUUUAAAGCAUGAAAAUUGUAAGUUUUAUUUGGUUGAGCUGCUUAUAACAAAUGCCUUGCAUCAAAAGUUGAAAGACAUUGAAUGGUCCCUCUUUUUAUCUGUUAGAUAUGAUGGUACUUGUACCAGUAAAACCAUUAAGAUGGUGGAAUAUGAACCGCCUUACUUGGAAGUUUUACCAGUUAAUAAUAACAUUAUAGACUGUCAAGUAUCAGCUGCUAUUAUUUUGCUAUCUAGAGAAGGUCUAACCCAUGUUCCGUUGGAUUCUGUGACCACCGAUAUAUCAUAUCAUUUUGAAAAUGUCAAAAAAUCCAAACAAUUGACUACAGACAGAAAAAUAUUGGAAAUAACUAAGGCUCACAAUCCUGACCUAAACAUAAAUGAAUUAAAAAAGCCUUUAUUGGUAGAGUACAGUUUCCAUUCAAAAAAAGACAACCAUGACUUUAUAAAGCAUUUCAUUCAACAUUGCUACCAUAAGUUGGAUUUAGAGCUGUUUUCUGAACUAGGAAGUGAUUCUACUAACAGUUUUGUGGUAAAGUUUGCCACCGGGUCUGCAAAAAGCUCUGUAACAUUUAACAAAGAGACUCAAGUGGUCACUUUAAGGAGCAAUUUGAGUGACAUGGUUCGUUUAAAGAAUUUCUUUUGGAACGAGGAAACUUUUGAAAUAAGGGAUUUCGAACGAGUGAAGGCUUACUUAAAGGAGUUAUUAGCAAAGUUGGGUCAGUGCAGUACAAGAGACGAGUUGUGCAACUUCUAUAUUGCUGUAAGGAAUAUUUGGACCAAAUAGAUGAUCAACCUUUUGGCUGCACAGUUGGUUGCUGGGGAAUCAGAGCAGUUUAUUAUUUGUAUCUGCCACCCUGACAAUCAACGAAAUAUCCGGACCAGACUACAUCGAAGUGGGUUCCCAAGAUGAACUGGUGCUCGACUGUGAUUUCACCGCGGAAAACGAGGAAGACGUGGUACUAAAAUGGUUCUUCAAUGGUCUGGAGCAGCAG
rnacentral:misc_RNA from 1 species